GCAGUUUUGGGGCACGGCUGGACAGCCUUCCCUCAGCUGAGGAAAAAAGAAGCCGUCCCUCAGGUGGCAGGAGAAGAGCUUUCGUUCAGCUUCAAUGAGGAUUCCAUCCCAUUUUUACUCCGUGAUCCUUCAGGCAGGACAGAUCCUUUAUGAACAGAACGAGUGAACAACAUCAUAUGAGCCUUUCACAGGAUAAAUGGGUUGGACGGGCAAUUUUGGCUUCUUCUAGGAUCAUGCUCUCCAUUCAAAUAUACAACUCAAUUAUAUGACUUCCAUACUGAGAAAAUACUUUAACUUUUAAAAUGCACAGCAGCAGUCUGGUCUUAAUAAAAAUGUUUAAAACCCACUCUUAAACCAUAACUCCAAGUUGUAGCUGAACAUGAAACAUCCUCUUACAAACAAUUACACACAAUUUCUGUCAUGCUUUGGAAGAUAUGUAUGUGCACUAGGGAUAUUAAAAAUCAAAACCCCCACAGCUCUAGGUGAAAAAGGGAAAGGCUUAAAACCUUUCAAGGUAUGCUUAGACAGAAAUGCAGUGAGCCUUGUAACUUAACAGCAGGCAUCUGUUUGAAAUACGUACAGCACGUAGGUGUAACCUUUGGCUUCAUGUAUUAUAGAAUCUCUUGGAAGAACUGCAGCAAUCCAAAACUUGA